rnacentral:rRNA from 1 species
GACGAACGCUGGCGGCGUGCUUAACACAUGCAAGUCGAACGGAAAGGCCCUGCUUUUGUGGGGUGCUCGAGUGGCGAACGAGUGAGUAACACGUGAGUAACCUGCCCUUGACUUUGGGAUAACUUCAGGAAACUGAGGCUAAUACCGGAUAGGAGCUCCUGCUGCAUGGUGGGGGUUGGAAAGUUUCGGCGGUUGGGGAUGGACUCGCGGCUUAUGAGCUUGUUGGUGGGGUAGUGGCUUACCAAGGCUUUGACGGGUAGCCGGCCUGAGAGGGUGAACGGCCACAUUGGGACUGCGAUACGGACCAGACUCCUACGGGAGGCAGCAGUCGGGAAUAUUGCACAAUGGGCGGAAGCCUGAUGCAGCAACGCCGCGUGCGGGAUGACGGCCUUCGGGUUGUAAACCGCUUUCGCCUGUGACGAAGCGUGAGUGACGGUAAUGGGUAAAGAAGCACCGGCUAACUACGUG